CUGGGUAUUUGGUGUUGUUUGAGCAGCACUUAAUAAGGUUAGGCAUCGUGCAAGACUUGGCUUUAUUGAAGGAUGAACUGGUCCUUCCUUGAAGCUUCUUUGUAGGACUAUGUAAGUCCAUUACUUGCUAUGCCUGAUGUUAUUGUGUUGGACAUUGUGUUGCUGUUUUGGUUUUUCUUGCAGGUUUCCUGAACUGUUGCUGCUGUUUUUGCAUCCCAACUGUAUAAUACAUCACCAUCAGAAGUUCCAUAAUGUGUUUGACAGCGACAUGCAAUAUAACCUCUUGCUCCAUCCCAUAAAACUUUUGAAGGAUAGUUCAUAUGUCCAGGAAGCAUUCUGAGUCUUCUACUUAUUGUGAUCAAUUUUUUUCCAUCGUGGAAUCAAAGGGCGUCCGAUGAGACUAGGCUAAACAUGUACACACCGUCUUGAAAAAUGAUGGGUUCAAGCACGAAACUGACAAGACUUUGCUAGUUCCUCUCGAAGAGUCCUGCAACAUGCGUGGACAUGGACAAUCAAUCCCAAGUGGCUUCUACGAGCACGCUCAACUUCUUUUU